rnacentral:rRNA from 1 species
UACGAAGGGUGCAAGCGUUACUCGGAAUUACUGGGCGUAAAGCGUGCGUAGGUGGUUUGUUAAGUCUGUUGUGAAAAGCCCCCGGGCUCAACCUGGGAAUGGCAAUGGAUACUGGCAGGCUAGAGUGCGGUAGAGGGUAGUGGAAUUCCCGGUGUAGCGGUGAAAUGCGUAGAGAUCGGGAGGAACACCAGUGGCGAAGGCGGCUACCUGGACCAGCACUGACACUGAGGCACGAAAGCGUGGGGGAGCAAACAGG